rnacentral:rRNA from 1 species
UACGGGGGGAGCAAGCGUUGUUCGGAUUUACUGGGCGUAAAGCGCGCGUAGGCGGACGUUAAGUCAGGGGUGAAAUCCCAGGGCUCAACCCUGGAAUGGCCUUUGAUACUGGACGUCUGGAGAUCGGGAGAGGUUGGUGGAAUUCCGAGUGUAGAGGUGAAAUUCGUAGAUAUUCGGAGGAACACCAGAAGCGAAGGCGGCCAACUGGCCCGAUACUGACGCUGAGGCGCGAAAGCGUGGGGAGCAAACAGG